rnacentral:rRNA from 1 species
UACGUAGGGGGCUAGCGUUGUCCGGAAUCAUUGGGCGUAAAGAGCGUGUAGGCGGCCCGGUAAGUCCGCUGUGAAAGUCGGGGGCUCAACCCUCGAAUGCCGGUGGAUACUGUCGGGCUAGAGUGCGGAAGAGGCGAGUGGAAUUCCUGGUGUAGCGGUGAAAUGCGUAGAGAUGUGGAGGAACACCAGUGGCGAAGGCGACUCUUUGGUCUGUAACUGACGCUGAGGCGCGAAAGCUAGGGGAGCAAACAGG